UUCACAAAUUAGUAGUUUUCUGUUAUAUGCAGCCUCUGAGGAAUGCUUUUCUCUUUUAAGCACAUUUUGCAAGGGAAUGGACAUAAUGCUUUUUCUCUGUCCUUCUAUCCUUAUUUUUGUCACCUGACCAGCUUCAUGUCAGUGUUAAUGUCUAUUUUCAAAGAAAAAUAAAGCCUCCCUAAUACUGUAAGUUGAAUCUACUGUCCCCAAACACCUUUACCAGAUGCUCCACAUAAAGUUUUGAAUAUAUGUAUAUAUGCACACACAGGUGUAUAUUUACAUAUAAUAUAUAGUUUUAAAAUGGUUUUCUAAGGCAUUGUACAUUGUUUUCUUUGAACCCUGAGACAUACUGUUAACCAACAAUACCCAUCUACAUGAUUGACUGAAGAUUUGGGAGCCACCUACCUAGAAUGGGUGAGCCAAUGGGCAUGGACACAGGCAAGAUCUGGCCCAAGUUUCAUUGAGAGGCCCUUCAGUGGGAGUUGGUGGUCCCUUUGGAAAAAAAUAUCAAAGUAUCAAGGCUAGAGAUUGUUGGCCCCUUGUGAUCUGUGAUAGUAAGAUGAUGAUAAGUCACCAUGGCAAUCCUCAAAGACCAAAAUCUGUUCUGUGUUGUGACUAAAUUCUAGGAAAGUCCUCUAAUCUGACCUGCAUCCAGGCAGUGAAGUACCUCAACCCUGAUGACAGAUCUAGACUCUGAGUGUAGCACAGCCCAAAGAUUUUGGUACAUGGAGUCAAAUGUCGAUUCUAGAUUCUACUUUUUUUCCUCACUACUUAAAAAAUGAUUUUUUUCCAGCUUUACUGAGGUAUAAUUGACAAGCAGAACUGUAAGAUAUUUAAAGGAUACAUCAUGGUGAUUUGAUAUAUGCCUACAUCAGGCUCCACCUUUUAAUAACAGGUUUUGCCUUUGAAAAUGCAAACUCUGUGAGUUCUAGUAUUUUUUAUUUUUUAUUUUAUUUUUAUUUCUAGUAUUUUUUAUCAUUUAUAAAAAUGAUAACCAUGUCAUGCAGUUGCUGUGAAGACUUAGGUAAGACCAUGUACAGAAAGUGGCUGACCCAUCUCAGCAGCUCAUACAUAGACAGACCCUCUCCUCUCCUCUCCAAACAUCUUAAAGAAUUUCCCUAGAGAGGUUUAAAAGAAAUUAGAGGACCAAUGAUCCAUUUCAAAAGAUUACAGAAGGCACUUAUUAAAAAAAAAUGCAUUCCCUGUUACUUAAACAUAAUUUGAAAAGAAAACAUAUUAAUAAGGUAGGGAUGUGCACACCAAAGCUGAUGUGGAGUCAUGAAGGAGGGACACAUAACUACUAGAGUUGUGACUAGAAUACCUGGUAUGAGGCGUGGAGCACUUGGAGAUAAGCCUGGAGAGGGUGAUCCUCUACCUGAGUGAAUCAGUUAGAUUCAAAUUUCAGAUAGGUUAAUUCUGGUAGCAGAACGGAACAUAGAUUGGGGAAUAGAAUGCAAAAGGAAAAGUUUAAUAAUAGUUCACCAGAGGAAUGACCAAGGGCUUGCACGAGAACGGUGACAAAGGGACAGACAGACAGACUGUAAACAUCAGGACUUGGUGUUGCUUGUCCUACGGGGGUCCUAGAAAAAGGCGUUUGGAAAGAAGGUGAGAUCUUUUCAGGGAGAAAAUGGGAGCGAAGUUAUCACUCAGUGCUGAAAGGAAGCAAAUGUUUUUCAUCCCCUUCACUCUGUUGAGGUGAAUUUAGAUUUUCAACAUUCCUUGUUUAAACCAGGAAAUGUUAGCCCAGGGUCUUGGAGAUUAUAUCAGUUAAUAGUUUAAGAGGUACAAUAUGUGCCAUUAAUGAAUGAAAACACAAUAUUAAAAUAUUAUGAUAUUAGGCCAUUGAUAAAAUAUAUAUGUAUUUCAGAUCUAAAGAUAGGACAUGUCUGAUAAUAGACUUUUUUUUGUUUGUUUCUCAUUGAAACUGAAUUACACAAGCUGAAUUAUACAAAAAUAAUUCAAAGAGUAAAUUACAUUUAAUUAUAUCUUUAGAAAGUAGCUUUCAUUUGAAAAAGAACAUAUUUAUGAAAUCUGGACUGAUCUGGAAAAUCCAGAAUAUAUAGUCACUAACCAUAGAAGAAUUGACCACUUAAAAAGCAUGUAGAAACAUCACUUUAGUUAUUAAACUUCAAGCAUUUUAUGAAAAAUACACAUAUUUUGCUGGGACUGAGGUAAACUUGGUUAUCGCAUUAUCCCUUUGAACUUUAUGCUCAGGAAAUAACAUUGUGACUCAACAUGCUAAUGUAUGUUAUCUCUUAAAACCAGUUCAGAUGCUAAUGUCACUAGUUAGUGAAUUUGUUUCUCUCCCUACCUGGUCUGUGCAUUUAUAAGGAUCAAGGUGUUGUUUGUACUACUCGAUACCACUUGAUCCAAAGCAACUUUGGGUGAGUAAUACAAAACUUUUAUUUUGAUUCUUUUUUUUCUUCUUUUGCUUUUCUUCCUUUCUUUUUUCCUUAGACACACAUGGGAAUCCAUACGGAUCUAUCUUAAAAACUGUAAUGUAAUUGCAGAUGGCUUGUCCUGCUAGUCUGUAUGCCUUCAUAUUUUUAAAAUUUUAUCCCCAUCUAUUGCCAGGAGUAAAUCUCAUUCAAUUUUUUAAAGAAUUGUACUGUGAUAUACCACAAUAUUUUCCACAUUCUGAUUUGGGUUCUGUUAUACUAGUCAGACAGAAAUACCCACACUUGUGUCUCUCAGCUUUUACUUUUGAUAGUUACAUAGGAAAACUUACAUAUGUGCUUAACUUGUAUGGUUGAACAUUGACCACAUCAUUUAAGUUGAUCAUAAUUACAUCAAUGUGGAUUCCUGGAUAUUCUUAGAAAUGUUUAAAGAAUAUUUAAGAAAUGGGAGUUUCCACUGUGGCUCAGUGGGUUAAGAACCUGACUACUGUCCGUGAGUAUUCAGGUUUGAUCCCUGGCCUCACUCAGUGGGUUAAGGAUCCCGCAUUGCCAAAAGCUGUGGCAUAGGUUGCAGAUGUGGCUAGGAUCCAGCGUUGGUGUUGCUGUGGCAUAGGCUGGCAACUGCAACUCCCAUUCAGUCUCUAGCCUGGGAACUUCUAUAUGCUCACAGAUGGGGCCCUAAAAAGAGAAAGAAAAAAAAAGAGAGAGAGAGAGAAUAUAUGAGAAAUGAUAAAAUCAUCUGGAAAAAAAAUCUUCAAGUAAGAAAAGCUUCCUGGAUUUCCCUGGUGGCACAGUGGGUUAAGGAUCCAGUGUUAUCACUGCUGUGGCCCAGGUUGGUGCUGUGGUGCAGGUUCAUUCCCUGGCCCAGGAACUUCCACAUGCCA
rnacentral:lncRNA from 1 species